GCCGGGAUAGCUCAGUCAAUAGAGCAUGACACUCUUAAUCUCAGGGCUCAUGGGUUCAAGUCCCAAGUUGGACA